rnacentral:lncRNA from 1 species
AUGAAAAUUUUGAAAUUGUUACAAAAUGGUUCAGAUGAUAAUGAUCCAUUAUUGGCACUUCCCAAUCUCCGCAGGAUCAACCUAUCUGGUAAUUACAUUGUUGGUGACCAAUUUGUUAACUUUCUCCGCCAAUGCAAGCUUCUUGAGUCGUCGUACUCAAGGACCGGAUUAUACGCAAAUUUAGGAAUUCCAAAUAUGAUAGGAGUGAUAUAA